rnacentral:rRNA from 1 species
GACGAACGCUGGCGGCGUGCUUAACACAUGUAAGUCGAACGGAGUGGCGAACGGUUGUGUCACACGUGGGUGAUCUCCCUUGCACUUCGGGAUAAGCUUGGGAAACUGUGUCUAAUACCGGCUAUUGCAAGAUGAGCUCGCGGCCUAUCCGCUUGUUGGUGGGGUAAUGGCCUACCAAGGCGUCGAAGGGUAGCCGGCCUGAGAGGGUGUACGGCCACAUGGGGACUGAGAUACGGGCCAGACUCCUACGGGAGGCAGCAGUGGGGAAUAUUGCACAAGGGGCGGAAGCCUGAUGCAGCGACGCCGCGUGGGGGAUGAAGGCCUUCGGGUUGUAAACUCCUGUCGACAGGGACGCGGUACCUGGAUAAGAAGCACCGGCUAACUACGUGCCAGCAGCCGCGGUAAUAC